rnacentral:misc_RNA from 1 species
UUGUGGAGGAGGACGCCGAAGGUGGGGCUGAUGACUGGGGUGAAGUCGUANCAAGGUAGCCGUACCGGAAGGUGCGGCUGGAUCACCUCCUAACAGGGAGACAACAACUGGUCAUUAUGUCUGAGUAAAAAUAUCCUUAGACAAUGAUCCUGUCACCUUAGGUCGAUCGGUACCUCAGGUUGAUUUUAUUCAGCUUUAGUUCCUAAACUUUGUCUAGGUCACAACCCAUAAGGGUACCCCUGGGCCAUUAGCUCAGGUGGUUAGAACGCACCCCUGAUAAGGGUGAGGUCCCUGGUUCAAGUCCAGGAUGGCCCAUUCGGUGUUUGGGGGUUUAGCUCAGUUGGUAGAGCGCCUGCUUUGCAAGCAGGAUGUCAGCGGUUCGAGUCCGCUAACCUCCACUGACCAACCUCCUCCAGCGACUCGUUUUAGAGGGGGCUUUGUGGAGACGUGAUUUAGAUUUGAUUCCGCUAACGGAACCUAGCUUCCUAUCAUUCCAAACCUAAUAAUUUAGGUUGAGGUUGAAAGGAUGCUGGGCUCACUGCAAUUCGGAAGAAUUACAGAAGCGUUCAGCAGAACCUUGACAACUGCAUAGUGAGUCUGGAAAGAAUAAAGCAUCUCAUAGAUAGAUUAUUCUUUGAAGACAUAAAGAAUUCAGCCUUUUUUAAAAGAGGUUGUUUGUAUUUAUUUCUUUUUAGAAUAAUAAUAAUUCUAUAGUUAAAAGCCGAUUCUCUAUAUCAUAUUUCUUAUUUAAUUUAGUAAGAAUAAAUGAUAUAGAGAUUAUUUGGUCAAGCUACAA